UGUACAUUUGUGUCUCAUAUUAAGUUUGUUAUAAAUGUAUAAAAAUGGCAUCAUAUGGUAUAUAUUACUUCCUUUAUAGCAGAUAAAAUGAACUAUAUCUACAGGUAUUACUAUGAAUAAAUCACAUAUCACCAUUUUAAUUACUUUAAUAAUUAUUUAUUCAAUAUCCACAUCCUCUUCUAGAUUGUAAACACCAUAAGCUGGAUCAUACUUGUCUCUUUUACCACUGCAUAUCCCAAACACCUUGCAGUUUCUGGCACAUUAUAAGCAAGAAAUAAAUACUGGAUAAAUGAAGAACUAAUCAUUGAACAAUGUUAUCUAAUUUAGAUAGAAUCUGAACUACUCCAUUAAAUUAAAUUGGCUAAAUAUCUUGACCUCAUUCUGUAUGUAUGCUGUUUAAACAAAAAUGAAGUGGUGAGAAGGGGAUAUUAACCCCUUUUGGUUUUUAUUUAGUAGAAAGAAACCUUAAAUAAAAGAAAAUAAAAUAAGCUUUAAAAGUUAAGCAUUUUCAUUUAUAUAAAGAGAUCUGGCCUUGGACACUGGUGGGGAACUUAUACUAUCAGAAAUAAAGAGGAAGAAACAAGAGGAAAACAAAUUUCCUGCUACAAAGAAAAACAAAAAUUGUUUGGUAACAAAGUAAAAUAGGAAUUGAGAAUACUGAAACAGAAACCAGAAGGGUUCUGGCCUUCAGCCAACUUCCCAAUAGCCACUAAGGUGGGAAGGCAACUUCUUAAAAGGAAUGAGCUAUUUGACUACUCUUCUACCACAUAUUAUCACAAAAGAAAUAUUGGAAGGAAAGGAGAGCAAUAUAAAUGAAGAGUGAGUACAUUUGCAACAGGAAUUUGUCCAGUAAGGGCACUGGGGUGCAGCUGUUAUUUUUUAGAUAUAUUUAACUGCAUAACUGUAUUUCUUCAUAGUCCAGCAUACAUGGCACAUCCCUGUGCUGUAGUUUUACUUAUGUUUACCGUUAAGUCAUUCAACUCAAAAUCAAACAUUACAAGGAUAACCAUACAUGUUUCCAGGAGAGGAUAGAAAAUUUCAUCUUUUCAUCACUGAACUGAAUCAUUCAAAUUUUGCUGGUUUACAAAAACUUAUCCUAAAAACAAGUACAGAAUUGUACAAAAAUACCUUCAGUUUUGGAUAAUAAAUUACAGACCAUAACCAAAAACUGUUGUGUAUAAAUGAACACUCCUGUUUUUAGCUCUAUGAGAAGUUAUAAGGAGUCAGGGUUUAUAAAGAUUUAAUAAAUUGAGAGUAGCUGACAGACACUUAGAGGAGGCAAACGACAGGAUUUUUAAAUGCAUUUUGUAUAAUAAGUCUUAGGAGUUACAAUAAACUUCAGCUUUUAGUCUAACAUAUCUAGUGUUUUGGGAAUAUACAAGAAAAAAAUUUAAGUAAUGAAAACAACUUUGAUGCACUUCGUUCUACAAGUUAAGCUAAGGAAUGAUUUUAAUGGUAGGAUUUAGGGCUUUUUACCUUCUACAGUCAAGUCAUAUUGGAGUUAAUUUUCUACCUAGAUCAACACUUUAGAACAUAAAUCUGAUCAUGUCCAAUGAUAUCUGAUCGUACAUACUGAAAACCCUUCCCAAUGGUUUCCCUUCACACUUAUUUUUUCUGUAGGUAAAAGAAUCUUGGGAUAAAAUAAUUUGUUUCUACGAGUGAAACAAAAACAUGAAUAUAUUAAAAUUAUAGGAUACUGGUGAUAUGGAAUAUAGACAAUGACCACGUUAUAUAACUGUUGUCGUAAAAAAAUGAACUCACCACAGAAUAACCUUGUUUAAUAUGAAAUUUCCUGAGUUCUUGGUCUAUCAAGGCAAUUUAAAAUUACUGCUACUAUCCUUUAAUUUUCAUGGAAUAUUCCAAUUUUAUUAACAAGGAGACACAAUAAGAAUGGGAAAUUGUAUGGUCUAUGGUCAAGAGGAUAGGCUCGGGAAUCAAAACUGCCGGGGGUUCAAGUCCUGGUACUGUACACUUAAAAGCUGUAUGACCUUAGGGAAUUUACAUAAUCAACCUGAAUCUACAGAGAUAAUAAAAUAGUACCUACCUUCGUAAUUUUUUUGAGGAUUAAAGAAUUCUCAAAAUAUGCUUUGCACUGAAGAAUGAUCCAUAUUAAGUCCAAUUAAUAUAAUUGAUCCUAAAACAGUGCAAUUCAAAUUUUCAUGUAAGUUGCUGCUGGUGGUGUAUCGUGUAUGUCUUUUUGCUAAAGUUGACUAAAACUGCUGACAUUGGAAGCAAAAGGGGAAAUAUAAAGAAAACCACAGGAUCGUCCAUUUUAGCAAACUGGAAAGCUUGAGCUACUCUAGUCCAAACUGCACUCACUCAAGUUAGCUGGGUUUAGGCCCAUCCCUUUGAGAAUUGAUCACUGUAUACUCAGUUUUAGUCUGCACACUGCUCAGCUUCCUGUGAUAAGGGACUGUAAAGAAACUUUAGGUUUCCAAGGUCUUUGGUACAGGCAAUAGGCAUGGAUGGGACACUCUUUUCCAUUUUAAAUCACAGCCAAUUUUAGGUAUGUACAGUCUUUUCAGAUACCGUCAGGUCCUUAAACCUGUGAUUAAGAUUGUUUAUGAAUUAACUGUUAUGGUUUACUAUCCUAUGUCAAGAUGAAUGAGAAGCAUCUUAAUAAAUAUGGUACAUCAUCCUGAAGCCAAAUGUACUCAGAGACUCUGGAAAAGGAAGCUUAGUCACAGAAGUAGUAAAUACUAUGUCUUUUAAAAUAUCAAGAAGGUAUUAAGAGGUAAAACAAAAUUCACGCAGAUUUUCAAAGGUACAAAACAGGACUCUAAAGUUCAUGCUUAUAGAAUAUCACACCUGGCUACCCACCCAGAUCCUAUGCCCAUCCACCCAACACUCACUGAAGCUACUUACAUCUGACAAGCACUAGGUUAACUGGAAGUUUCAAUCGAUUAAGAAAUUCUGCAGAAGAUUCCAAAUUCUUAAAUAAUGACACAAUUAUGCACCCCUCCCCAAUGGUACUGAAAAAAACUACAGAACACAGUAUACAAAUAAUGCAGCAGCUUUCUAUCCAGAACCCCUUAGUACAAGGUAAAUGUAUAAAUUCAUGAGUAAGUAAACCAUUAUAUGACAAAGCCCAAUGUGUAAACAACAGUGCUGAUCCUGUGACAGACAAUUAUGGUUGAUUUAAAAUCGAGCAACAAAUUGAAUUAAAACCAAAGCUUCGCAAAGUUUUAUUACUUAGCUAAAAACACAGCAACAAACUAAUUUUCUUUCUCCUUCAGGUAAAAAAAAAAAGUCAUACAUUCUCUAAGUUCUGUUGAAAUAGCACCUUUUAAUUGAAAAACUUCACAAACUGGUAACAGAAAGUUAUGCUCUAUUUCUCAUCCUCCUUAAAAUCAUUCUCUGUAAGUGUCUCUUUCAGGUAAAAAAAGAGACCUUAAGGCAGGGAUCUUUUAUUGGCAUGAUUAGAGAGGGUGAAUAGUAUUAGUCACCACAGGAUUUUAACAAAAUCAACACUUGUCCUAUAAUUUCAGUCAAGAGAUGUUAAUGAAGUUUCAUUAUGCAGAAAAUGUUGUUUAUUUAUUCAUAUUCAAAGUAGAAACCUAUUAUUUAGUUCUUUAUUUAAAUUACAUAUCUUACAUAUAGACCUGGAUUAAUAGGUAAAUGUACUCAAGGCUCAAUGAAAAUAAUAAGUAUCAACAGUAAGCUACAUUAUACUGAAGAAAAGAAGUUUGGAUUUUAACACUUAUUUUUAAAACUUCUAUCAAAAAAACAAAACUUGAUUGUCAAAUGUCAAUACUAUUUAAAGAUUAAAAAAUGAAUAUAUUAGUAAUAUGAAGAUUUGGAAAUGAAAAUUCAUUUCAUGAAUAGCUGUAAUUUUUUAAAUUAUCUAAUUUUUACCCCAAAAUGAACUAUGAUAUUGAAACAAUGAAAAAGAAAGUAGGAUAAUUAAAAUUAAAAUGAUAUAUUUUGAGUUUUUCAAUUUCAUAGCGACCCUAUAGGGCUUCCUAGCCUGUAAUCUUUAUGGGAGCAGAUCACCAGGUCUUUUCUCCGACAGGCAGAUGGGUCAAACUGCUGACCUUUUGGUUAACAACCAAGCACUUAACCACUGCAUAACCAGGGCUCCUUUUGAGUGACCAUGAGAAAUAACAAAAUAGGCCUUGGACGGAGUUCAAUCAAUAAUUUAUACCAUGGUUUUAUACAACAUCAUUAACCUCACUGAAUGAACUAUGAACUCAAGACUUAAAGAUUAAGUUUUACGUUACUCCCUCAAAGGACACUUUAUAAAUUGCCCCUUAGUGGUGAAUUAUUAAAAGGUACACAUAAAAUAAUGAAAACUGGUCAUUCUAAUUUGGGACUAAAGAGAAGUUUAGUAACAGGCUAAAGACUAUGAUUUUAAUUUUAUUUUUAUAAUGGAAUGGCCCAGUAUGAAUAUUUCAGCAUCAUUCUAAUAAUGUAUAAUGUGGAAGCAAAAAAAAAAAAAAACAAAAAAACCCCACCAAACCCACUGCCAC